AGUGAACGCUGGCGGUAGGCCUAACACAUGCAAGUCGAACGGCAGCACAGUAAGAGUUUGCUCUUACGGGUGGCGAGUGGCGGACGGGUGAGGAAUACAUCGGCAUCUUCUUUUUCGUGGGGGAUAUCGUAGGGAAACUUACGCUAAUACCGCAUACGUCCUACGGGUGAAAGCAGGGGUUCUUCGGACUUUGCGCGAUUGAUUGAGCCGAUGUCGGAUUAGCUAGUUGGCUGGGUAAAGGCCCACCAAGGCGACGAUCCGUAGCUGGUCUGAGAGGAUGAUCAGCCACACUGGAACUGAGACACGGUCCAGACUCCUACGGGAGGCAGCAGUAGGGAAUAUUGGACAAUGGGCGCAAGCCUGAUCCAGCCAUACCGCGUGGGUGAAGAAGGCCUUCGGGUUGUAAAGCCCUUUUGUUGGGAAAGAAAAGCAGCAGGUUAAUACCCCGCUGUUCUGACGGUACCCAAAGAAUAAGCACCGGCUAACUUCGUG
rnacentral:rRNA from 1 species